AAGCGGUGGAGUAUGUUGUUAAUUCGAAGAUACACGAAGACCUUACCAGGUCUUGACAUACCAUUGACAGGCACAGAGAUGUGCUCUCCUUCGGGCAAUGGAUACAGGGUGGUGCAUGGUUGUCGUCAGCUCGUGCCGUGAGGUGUUGGGUUAAGUCCCGCAACGAGCGCAACCCUUAUCCCCAGUUGCCAUCAGGUAAAGCUGGGAACUCUGGGGAGACUGCCGGUGAUAAACCGGAGGAAGGCGGGGAUGACGUCAAGUCCUCAUGGCCCUUACAUCCCGGGCUACACACGUGCUACAAUGGCAGGUACAGAGGGCUGCGAAGCCGCGAGGUGGAGCGAAUCCCAGAAAACCUGUCUCAGUCCGGAUUGAAGUCUGCAACUCGACUUCAUGAAGGCGGAAUCGCUAGUAACCGCGAAUCAGCAGGUCGCGGUGAAUACGUUCCCGGGCCUU
rnacentral:rRNA from 1 species